UAGGGAAUUUUCGGCAAUGGACGGAAGUCUGACCGAGCAACGCCGCGUGAGUGAAGAAGGUUUUCGGAUCGUAAAGCCCUGUUGUUAGAGAAGAACGUUGGUAGGAGUGGAAAAUCUACCAAGUGACGGUAACUAACCAGAAAGGGACGGCUAACUACGUGCCAGCAGCCGCGGUAAUACGUAGGUCCCGAGCGUUGUCCGGAUUUUUUGGGCGUAAAGCGAGCGCAGGCGGUUCUUUAAGUCUGAAGUUAAAGGCAGUGGCUUAACCAUUGUAGGCUUUGGGAACUGGACAACUUGGGUGCAGGAGGAGAGAGUGGAAUUCCAUGUGUAGCGGUGAAAAGCGUGAAUAUAUGGAGGAACACCGGUGGCGAAAGCGGCUCUCUGGUCUGUAACUGACGCUGAGGCUCGAAAGCGUGGGGAGCAAACAGG
rnacentral:rRNA from 1 species